UGUGAGGUGAAAUCUUCUGGCUCAACCCGAGAACUGCAUUGCAAACCGGCCUGCCUAGAGUGCAGGAAAGGGAAUCGAAAUUCCAGGGGUAACGUUGAAUUGCUAAAAUAUCUGAAGAAACACCAUUGGCAAAGGCGGCUUCCUGGUCUGUAACUAACCCUGAGACCCAAAACCGUGGGAAGCAAACCGAAUUAAAUACCCGGUUAUCCCCCCCCCUAAACAUUAUGAACUACGUGUUGGUCGGAUUGACCCCAUCGGUGCCGCAACUAACUCAUUAAUUUCACCGCCUGAGGACUACCGCCGCGAUGAUAAAACUCAAAAGAAUAGGCGGCCGCCCGCACAAGCAGAGCAUCUUGUGGUUUUAUUCGAGGCAACCCGAACAACCUUACCUGUGUUUGACAUGUAAACGAAACCUCAGAGAAAUCCUGCCCCCCUCGAAACAGAUCUCUACGCAGGUGGUGCAUGGCUGUCUUCAGCUCGUGCAGUGAGGUGUUGGGUUAAGUCCCACAACGAGCGCCACCUCUGUCCUUAGUU
rnacentral:rRNA from 1 species